CUGAUUUUGGGAGUCCCUUGUACCUUUUGCCUGGGCUGAGCUAUCCGCUGGAACUGCUCUUACGCCUAUGCAUUUAUCACGCAUCCCACCUCUUCGAAUCCAUUCGUCCAAAAAAUCCUCUCGGAACCCAAGAUCUUCCAAGAGACCAAGAAUCAAACGUGGGCUCAUCAGCCAUAGCACUCUCCCUCAUGUGCCCUCGAUUGAUCGUGUGAUGUCGGCGGUCAGGUAGUGUUCUGUAGCAGCGACAUCGUCUAUCCGGUACUGUUCUCUCCUCCGGAACUGAGUAGUUAAAUCUUUCCUUCCAGAUCGAAAUUCGUAGGGGGGUGAGCGAUUUACUGUUUGAGUUGAAGUUAGAAUCUGUAGUGUAGAGCCUUCUUUCUAGAGUUUGGAGGUUUGAUAGCAAGAGAUAAUGUCUAGCUGCUUGAAAUUUUUUUCGUAUUAUUGUUGUUACGCCUUUCUAGUGAAGCCAUUUGAUGGAUAAAUUUAGGCAUAUUGGGCGUCCCACGAAUUUCACAAGAGUAUAUCUGUUGCAUAUUGGCUGAGCUAGGAUUUUUCCAUUGAAUGCAUUGAGCAUGUUCUUGCGUAGUUUUACAGUUGGCUGACCAUUUUCUUUUAUUGAACUGGGUGUGUGCAUUGGAUAUGGAAAUGAAAUAUAAGUGUAUUCUUAUUGGAAUGUACUGGCUGUAAUUUUUGAGGCAAUAACCAUGCAAUUGUUCUGUUGGAAGCAUAGCAAAAUAGUUUCAUAAUCACUUCAUUUCAAGUAGUGUCAUGGAUGAAUCCCUCUGAGAGUAUUGAUAUAGUUGCUUUGCCCUGUCUACAAUCAUCGACCCUGCUACAAAGAUAGUCUUACAACCACUGAGCACUAACAAUCAGUAUCCUUGUAAAGCUCUUGAUGUUGGGAGCAACUUAGCAUGCUUAAUUGUUUGAGGGUUGCAAUAACGAUUGUUUUCUUGUGGGAGUGAGAGUCUAAAAUUAAGUGGGACUCAAACUGAUUGCUACCAAUUUUCUAUUGAGAUGCAUCUGAACUGAUAAUUCUGGGAACGUGGAUUUAUUUGCUCCUAUGUAUUGUGGCAAACAGGCCUACAACAAUGAACUGUUUAGCCAUAAGUCUUUGAAAGAUUUUGUAACGGUUGAGUUGAGGGUGUAGAAGCAAGUCUUUGGUUGUACAUGUUUGACGAAAAGUGGGUUCAAGUUGCUACCAGUUUGAUGCAGUGUAUUGUCACUGUGCUGUUAGCAGCUUAAAUGAAUAUUGGUUAGAACGUGCCGAAGGGGGAUAUUUAGAAUUAUAUCUUCACACCCUUCUGGGAGAGUUGAAUACCACAGCGUUGGUACUUUCUUUUGGUACAUAAAUGUUUGUACUUCAUUUCUUCCUCAUAAUAUAGUUUCGUAUCCAAUUGGCUUUUAUUAAUGUAUCUUAUCAAUAAAACAUCAGGACUGCCUAGGAAUGACGGUUGUGAAGCGGUAUGUACUGCGUCUGUUCAUAUCCUUGAAGUACAUUACAGCAAACGUGGUGGAUAGAAACAAUGGCCGGAUUGUUACAUCAGCAUCUACAGUUGAACAUUCAAUCAAGGGCUCGCUUGAGUGUGGUCGGUCUUGCAAUGCAAAGGCAGCGUCAGUUGUUGGAGAGGUGUUGGCUAAGAGACUCAAGGUGGAUGGUCUUGACCAGGGGCAGGGACGAGGGAUUCACGUUAAUGUAAAUAAUGAACUUGAGAAGAAGGGUUUUAAGAACCGCACCAAGAUUUGGGCCAUUGUCAAUGCUCUUAAGAACAAUGGAGUCAAACUCGUUCUUGAUGAUAACGAUGAAAAUACAUCUCGACCAAGUUACUAAUAAGAAAUCUCUUGUUUGCACUCCUUGUGUCUAAAUGCUGAACUAUAUAUUUCUUUUGACAGAGCAAGGAGGAGGCAAUGAGCUCCUUUUAUUGCUCACACCAGCAAAUUAUACUGCAUUGCAUUCGUGCAAAACCAGAACCACUUGGAAAUUGUCUGUACAUAGCCAUAGAAACAGCUCAUAAACUGUCUGUCAUUUUAAUGUUUGCUUCC
rnacentral:lncRNA from 1 species